rnacentral:rRNA from 1 species
AACCAGGCGGCAUCCUAACCAUGCAAGUCCUACGGAGAGUGGGGCGACUCACUCUCAGUGGCAAACGGGUGAGUAACACGUGAAUAACCUGCCUUUGAGAAGGGGAUAACUGUCCGAAAGGAUAGCUAAUACCCUAUAUUGCCUUUUGUCACUAAGGCAAAAGGUGAAAGCGAGGCUGUCAAAGGCUUCGGCUCAAGGAGGGGUUCGCGUCCUAUCAGGUAGUUAGUGGGGUAAUGGCCUACCAAGCCAAUGACGGGUAGCAGGUCUUAGAGGAGAAUCAGCCACAGUGGGACUGAGACACGGCCCGCACCCCUACGGGGGGCAGCAGUGGGGAAUCGUGGGCAAUGGGCGCAAGCCUGACCCCGCAAUGCCGCGUGAGGGAAGAAGCCCUUCGGGGUGUAAACCUCUGUCAGAUGGGGAAGAUGGGACUAGGGGCUAAUACCUCCUAGUCUUGACGGUACCAUCAAAGGAAGGGACGGCUAACUACGUGCCAGCAGCCGCGGUAAU